AGCUCUGCUCAGUGGCAGUGUCGUAGCCAACGAGGUUUGUCCGAGGCGAGAUUUUUGCUAAUUGCAAACUUUUCCCAGUACCCCGCCAUGACGACUUGCCACAUGGUCGGCAUUGGCAAUUUUCGACGGUCCCUACGGGGA
rnacentral:snRNA from 1 species